AGAGUUUGAUCCUGGCUCAGGAUGAACGCUGCGGCGUGCUUAACACAUGCAAGUCGAGCGAAAUAAUUGAGAGCUUGCUUUUGAUUAUUUUAGUCGGCGGACGGGUGAGUAACGUGUGGGUAACCUGCCUUUUACUGUGGAAUAAUCGUUGGAAACGACGACUAAUACCGCAUACGGUUCUUGGAAGGCAUCUUCUAAGAAAGAAAGGAGUAAUUCGGUAAAAGAUGGGCCCGCAUCUGAUUAGCUAGUUGGUGAGAUAACAGCCCACCAAGGCAACGAUCAGUAGCCGACCUGAGAGGGUGACCGGCCACAUUGGGACUGAGACACGGCCCAAACUCCUACGGGAGGCAGCAGUGGGGAAUAUUGCACAAUGGGGGAAACCCUGAUGCAGCAACGCCGCGUGAAGGAAGACGGUUUUCGGAUUGUAAACUUCUACCAAUAGGGAAGAAAGAAAUGGCGGUACCUAAAUAAGAAGCCCCGGCUAACUACGUG
rnacentral:rRNA from 1 species